UACGUAGGGGGCUAGCGUUGUCCGGAAUCAUUGGGCGUAAAGCGCGUGUAGGCGGCCCGAUAAGUCCGCUGUGAAAGUCCAGGGCUCAACCCUGGGAUGCCGGUGGAUACUGUCGGGCUCGAGUCCGGAAGAGGCGAGUGGAAUCCUGGUGUAGCGGUGAAAUGCGCAGAUAUCAGGAGGACACCAAUGGCGAAGACAGCUCGCUGGGACGUGACUGACGCUGAGACGCGAAAGCGUGGGGAGCAA
rnacentral:rRNA from 1 species